UCCACUACUCUGAACACACCUGAUCUCAUCUGAUCUUAGAAGAUAAGCAGGGUCUAGCCUAGUUAGUAUUUAGAUGGAAGAAAUGACCAGGCAUGGAG
rnacentral:rRNA from 1 species